GAAUGAAAGAUAUGGACCAUUUCUUGCUUUAUCAUAAAACUGCAAUUAUUGAACUUUUCUAUGAGUCCCAUGAUCAUGCUCUGUUCAGAGCCAAAUGAGGGUUAGCUCUAUGUUAAAGUAUACGAGUUGACACCCAUCUGGUUCAAAAAUGUUAUUUAUGUACGAGCAUAUCAUUCAGGUGAUGAUCAUGGAGUUCAAUUCACUGUCUUGCCUAAAAAUUAAAAACAACCGCACAGAGCUAUGAUAUGGAAAAUAUGAAUUGAAAUAUCAGACAAAAAAGGUUGCAUAACAAACUUGAAAUGACAUAAAUAUUUUGAAUACCUCACAAAAUGCAAUUGACAUUUCUUAGAGCAUAUUACAAGUUUCAUAAUCGUUACAUGGGUCAUUCAAUUAAUCCUUAUAAACUAAAAAUAGCAGGUCAGAUGAGCGUGUUUAAGCUAAUGGACUUAUGUAAUAUAUUCCCUGAUGCACGCAAGCCUGCGUCAGCAGUGAUGGUGAUGAGUAUUAGCUUUCGCCUGAACUAUUCAUGAACUUGAGGCUAGCAAUGAAAGCACUAAAUAUAGCUGAUAUUUCAACUAAUCCACGUUGUAUAUAUCAUGCGGUUGGAACUUACAGUAAUAUCCAGGAUAUUAAAUGUUGAUUGAAAAAAUAUACAGGCAUACACGGCGGCGAUGACUAAAACAAAGGGAAUCGCGAACAGUCAGAUUAACGGCAAUUUGGAAUACAUGCUUUAUAUUUGCGGUAGGACGUCCAGUAUCCACAAUUGUACGUGCACAGACUAAUUUUAAUAGAAAAGCUGCAUUAUGAAUUUACCUGAUUUGAAAGUAAGCAGUUUGUGGAGUAGAUGAAAAAUGAGUCAUCAAUUAUUGCAUAGGAAGAUAUUUAUUUCUCUUUUUUCAUCAUAGUCUAUUCAGUUGAUGACAAAAUUGGAUUCAUAAACAAUUCAUGCAAUGAUUUUAUGAAUUGUAUUGUAUACAGAACAAAAGGUCAUUGUACUGCAAAUUGAUUAUACCCAGUAAAUGGAAUUACAUUUUGUAUUGUGCUGAGCAUACAAAAAUGAAUUAAUUGAUUUGAGAAUAAGUCAGUUAUGGCAUUUUAAUCAUUGAAAUUUGUUUUUCAUGAAGAG